rnacentral:rRNA from 1 species
GAUGAACGCUGGCGGCGUGCCUAAUACAUGCAAGUCGAGCGAACAGACGAGGACCUUGCUCCUCUGACGUUAGCGGCGGACGGGUGAGUAACACGUGGAUAACCUACCUAUAAGACUGGGAUAACUUCGGGAAACCGGAGCUAAUACCGGAUAAUAUAUUGAACCGCAUGGUUCAAUAGUGAAAGACGGUUUUGCUGUCACUUAUAGAUGGAUCCGCGCCGCAUUAGCUAGUUGGUAAGGUAACGGCUUACCAAGGCAACGAUGCGUAGCCGACCUGAGAGGGUGAUAGGCCACACUGGAACUGAGACACGGUCCAGACUCCUACGGGAGGCAGCAGUAGGGAAUCUUCCGCAAUGGGCGAAAGCCUGACGGAGCAACGCCGCGUGAGUGAUGAAGGUCUUCGGAUCGUAAAACUCUGUUAUUAGGGAAGAAUAAAUGUGUAAGUAACUAUGCACGUCUUGACGGUACCUAAUCAGAAAGCCACGGCUAACUACGUG